GACGGAGGAUGCAAGCGUUAUCCGGAAUUAUUGGGCGUAAAGCGUCCGCAGGUGGUUUGACAAGUCUGCUGUUAAAGUGCAGAGCUUAACUCUGUAAAGGCGGUGGAAACUGUCAAGCUUGAGUAUGGUAGGGGUAGAGGGAAUUCCCGGUGUAGCGGUGAAAUGCGUAGAUAUCGGGAAGAACACCAGUGGCGAAAGCGCUCUACUGGGCCAUAACUGACACUGAGGGACGAAAGCUAGGGGAGCGAAAGGG
rnacentral:rRNA from 1 species